CAGUGAACAAAAAGAUCCCAACAUAUGUAGAGAAGCAGAGAAGAGAAGGGGUGCCGUGUCUGAAGCAAUACACCCUCCCCCGCCGGUCUAGGCAAACGCUGCAACUCCUUAUUCCCUAAGUAUAAGCUUUAUCAAAGAGGAGAGUUUUAAGUUUACUCUUAAAUGUGGUAACGGUGUCUGUCUCCCAAACCCAG